rnacentral:rRNA from 1 species
GCUUGUACAGGUGCUGCAUGGCUGUCGUCAGCUCGUGUCGUGAGAUGUCGGUUAAGUCCGCUAACGAGCGCAACCCUCGCUGUGUGUUACAAGUGUCACACGGAACUGCCGGUCAUAAACCGGAGGAAGGUGGGAUGACGUCAAGUCAGCAUGGCCUUUAUAUCCUGGGCUACACACACGCUACAAUGGGAAGGGACAAUAGGUUGCGAAGCCGCGAGGCGGAGCCAAUCCAGCAAAACUUCCCUCAGUUCAGAUUGCAGGCUGCAACCCGCCUGCAUGAAGUUGGAGUUGCUAGUAAACGCAGGUCAGCCAUACUGCGUUGAAUACGUUCCCGGGGCUU